rnacentral:rRNA from 1 species
GAUGAACGCUGGCGGCGUGCCUAAUACAUGCAAGUCGAGCGAAGCGGGGACGGGGGAGUAACACGUGGAAAACCCCCUAUACGCCUGGGAUAACCUCGGGAAACCGGAGGUAAACCGGAAACUUAUAGAUGGAUCAGCGCUGAAUUAGCUAGGUGGUAAGGUAACGGCUUACCAAGGCAACGAUGCAUAGCCGACCUGAGAGGGUGAGCGGCAACACGGGAACUGAGACACGGUCCAGACUCCUACGGGAGGCAGCAGUGGGGAAUCUUCCACAAUGGGCGAAAGCCUGACGGAGCAACGCCGCGUGAGUGAAGAAGGCCUUCGGAUCGUAAAGCUCUGUUAGUAGGGAAGCGGUACCUAAAGAGAAAGCCACGGCUAACUACGUGCCAGCAGCCGCGGUAAUAC